GUGAAAAUCAUCGGUAGCUUGGUAUGUAGCAGAAUGGUCUGGACAAGAGAAACUUUUCUUACGAGUGUGUUUACAGGCCCGAGGAAGCUGGAGCCCUGCUCCCACAGGAGGCAGAGAUGCGAGCGGUGCAUGGAGAGGAGUUUCAGUCAGCCGAACAGCUCACAGAGCCCAAGGGUGAUGAUCCGCUCAGGCAGCGACAGCAUCUACAGCCACCAGUCCUGCAGUUACAGCACACACCCUCCAUGUUCUUGUAGCAACAGCCCAUUCAACCACCGCCCCUGCAUAAACAUCAGUUGCCACUGUCAACUGUUGAAUGGCAGCACAAGCAACAACCAGAGAGGGAGAGAAAGCACUGAACACCAAUGCUGCUGGCGGGAGGGUGGCUCUACCAGCAACAACACCGGUAUGCAUCACUGCUGUGGCAACAGAAGGUGUAUCCAUCAAACUGGCAAUAAUCGCACCCACAACCUUGCCUCCUUCAGCAAUGGCACCUACUGCCACAGUCACAGCUGUGAGGACCAGCCAGACACCCAACACACCUGUGACAAUCACACUGCUAACCAGCACUGCAGUGAGAGCUCCUACAAGUGUCACAAGUCUGCAGACAGCACAUCUGUUCACCAAACCUGCAGGAUCACUGUGCAUGAACGUGCAAACUUGUAUCCACAUCCCGACCUGAGGACCCCACCCCACCGAGUUCCAGCCCUCGCAACGCCAAAGUCCGAGAACCGGCUCAACAGCGGACCACCACUGCACUGCGCAGAUGAUGGCUAUAGCGACCCACACAAGUCUAGCAAGUACAGUCAGUCUCCUCUGGCUCAGGUCAUCCGGUGCACUAACAGUUCCAAGCCCAAACUCCGAAGCUCUCCCCAAGGGCACUGUAAACUGCAAGAUGUGUCCCUGGAUGAUACAAAGGAAUCUGGCAAGGACACCUUGCAUAAACAAGAAAUUUGGAACGCAGUUCAUUCCAAACAUCAGGACUCAUGGAGGGAGCGUUCCAACACAGCACACAGCCUCCUCGCUGUCUCUCCUGCCUCAACCCAGCAUUCGACCUGGGGACGAGCAACACAAGGCAUCGAGUCCCCUCGUUUCGAGUUCUCCCAGAACAGGAGGUCUGUGCUGCAAAGGCAGGCUCACGUGGAGCUGCCUCUUGAGUCUCCAGUCCCGGACGCCCUGGUCAGACUGCGUGAAGUGUCUGAGGACCAGCAUGACCAUGUCGCUGUGGGUCUGGAGAGCACUCAGACUGCACCCAUUGGAUCCCCUCUACCUGUGAACCCUUACCCAGCUACUGCCCCCUCGAUUACAGUUUCCACCCUUGGCCACGCAGCCAUCACCAUUGCUGGCUCUUCCCCUGUCGCCUCCCUCCUUGAACUGGAGUCUAAGAUGCCCAAUAGAAAGAGAGGUCCACCCGUGCCACCUAAGCCCAUUUGGAUUCCACAGAGUCUGAGAGGUGCGAGAAAUGGCAGGUUGCCAACAUUGACCCCUAAAACGCCCCCUGACAUGGGCAGAGUGUUUGGAAGCAGUUUACGUGACACAAUUCAAACUGCAAACCUGUCCAUCAAACAGAAGAUUCAUGCGUUUGUGAGCCCCAGUAGGUCCAAAGCACCGGGGAGAGCCAGCAGCAGGUGGGGGUCCAAAUGCGAUGGGGAAAACAUGGGAGAGACUCCCUCCUUUAGCCAGCAUGUGACCCAGGAGCUGCUCUCCCCUCUGCACUCUCAGCUCCCAGACCCCAAAUCGUGCUUCCGUCACACAUGCGCACCCCUCGCAGGGUCACCUUGGGCUGGACCUGAAAAGACACCCCCAGACACCAACACCAGGGGAUUGAGUGUCGUUGGGGGAAGAGAUGCGAGAAUGGACCGAGAGCCUGGUGUGCAGCCUUCUUCGUCUCCCCAUCCCUGCACCCACUAUGGGAUCUUAGGGUUUCCAGCGCAGGGUGUGGAGAAGAUAAGGCCGAAAGCCAAGGCCUUGGACGUCGACACUGUUCAGCUGCCUGAAGACAUCCACAUUGUGGUUCUACCCAAAGAGGAGACUGCUGACCUGGGCAUCGCUGGUGGAUCGAACCUCGAGCACAAAGCCAUUGUUCAGACAGGAUGGGAUCAGGAGGGGACCAUGGAGACGGGGGGUGUGCUGCUGUCCAUCACCGGGAGGUCACUAGGAGACAUGUCAAACAGUGGCAUCCCCAUGGCAACCCUACAGAAUGCCAGGAUGGCAAUGCCGACAGUGAUCACACGUAAACAUAGACCAGCAAAGUGUGUCACAGGUGACUUCACUUAUACUGUAAACCACAGCCCCACAGAUGUAUCGUCCUUAUCUGAAGAAAGAUGUCAGCAAAUAGAUGUGUUUACUUGUCUUCCUACAGGUGGCACCACAGAGCAGAGCAUACCAUGAAAUGGUCUUGAGAUGACUUAGAGAAGGUUCAGAACUCCUCUAGAGGCUGAAGAGUCAGACUAUGGGACUGUGGUGAUGAUGUAAUGAUAAGACCUUUCAACAUAUUCAUUAGGAGAAAGAAGAACAUGCUAAAUGUCUUAGGAACGAGUGCAUGCUGCAAUUUGGGGAAAACGAUGAAGAUCAGCUGAAGAACCUCUGUGUGUCCAUAAAACUGCACACUAAUUUGGGUGUCACCACAGACUCAACUCUGGAACUUCAGCAGCCACCAGGAUGACCUGUGACUGCAGUAAAAAAGAUCAUCCACCUGUAUGGUUGAUGCUGCUACAGAAGAACCCUACAAGAGUGUGACACACACACACACACACACACACACACACACACACACACACACACACAUACACAUACUGCUCUAAACAAAAGCAGAGGAAGAGCCAAAGCACUGUGUUCCAUGAAGCAGUGUCACAUAUGAACAUAUACUUUCCAUAUAAACCUGAAAUAGGACCAACAGCACCUGCAUUUUACACAUACUGCUGUACCAUACAACAGUAACGUGACAUCAUCUCCAUAACCUUCUGCUGCAAGUCUUUUCUCUUUCAAUGACCACUCAAAACACACUGCUUCAACAUGGUAACCAAAAAGAUUACAAUCGUAUUUAGGCUGUUCCUACUGAAGCACAGAAAUUUACUGUAUAAAAUAGCAUGUUCAUUACUGGAGAGAUUAUGGUCAAUAUUUUGUACAUUUGCCAAAAAGUGUAAUGUAUAAAUAUAUGUAGUACAAGA
rnacentral:lncRNA from 1 species